AAAGAGUCAUACGGUGAAGGGCUAGCGACCCACGCCGGCCCCGAGUCAUGCGGAGCUGCCUGCAAGGGCAGCGUCGAAGCGUUGAUAGGGGCACGUGCGGGCCGGGUAUUGAGCCGCGAAAGAACAUGCCUUCGGGGUGCCGACGCUGUCAGGAGAAGCGGAAGGCCCCACCCGGCGCAUCGAUAGCGCGAGAUGCGGCGGGACCCCGCGCGGUCAGAGACCC
rfam:Freshwater sediment metagenome lwMethylamine_BCHP41506_b2, whole genome shotgun sequence.